GGAACUAGCUUAGUGGUAGAGCAUCUGCUUUGCAUGCGGAAGGUCCCAGGUUCAAUCCCCAGCAUCUCCA